GACGAACGCUUGCGGCGUGCUUAACACAUGCAAGUCGAACGGAAAGGCCCUGCUUUUGUGGGGUGCUCGAGUGGCGAACGGGUGAGUAACACGUGAGUAACCUGCCCUUGACUUUGGGAUAACUUCAGGAAACUGGGGCUAAUACCGGAUAGGAGCUCCUGCUGCAUGGUGGGGGUUGGAAAGUUUCGGCGGUUGGGGAUGGACUCGCGGCUUAUCAGCUUGUUGGUGGGGUAGUGGCUUACCAAGGCUUUGACGGGUAGCCGGCCUGAGAGGGUGACCGGCCACAUUGGGACUGAGAUACGGCCCAGACUCCUACGGGAGGCAGCAGUGGGGAAUAUUGCACAAUGGGCGGAAGCCUGGUGCAGCAACGCCGCGUGCGGGAUGACGGCCUUCGGGUUGUAAACCGCUUUCGCCUGUGACGAAGCGUGAGUGACGGUAAUGGGUAAAGAAGCACCGGCUAACUACGUGCCAGCAGCCGCGGUGAUACGUAGGGUGCGAGCGUUGUCCGGAUUUAUUGGGCGUAAAGGGCUCGUAGGUGGUUGAUCGCGUCGGAAGUGUAAUCUUGGGGCUUAACCCUGAGCGUGCUUUCGAUACGGGUUGACUUGAGGAAGGUAGGGGAGAAUGGAAUUCCUGGUGGAGCGGUGGAAUGCGCAGAUAUCAGGAGGAACACCAGUGGCGAAGGCGGUUCUCUGGGCCUUUCCUGACGCUGAGGAGCGAAAGCGUGGGGAGCGAACAGGCUUAGAUACCCUGGUAGUCCACGCUGUAAACGGUGGGUACUAGGUGUGGGGUCCAUUCCACGGGUUCCGUGCCGUAGCUAACGCUUUAAGUACCCCGCCUGGGGAGUACGGCCGCAAGGCUAAAACUCAAAGGAAUUGACGGGGCCCCGCACAAGCGGCGGAGCAUGCGGAUUAAUUCGAUGCAACGCGUAGAACCUUACCUGGGUUUGACAUGGAUCGGGAGUGCUCAGAGAUGGGUGUGCCUCUUUUGGGGUCGGUUCACAGGUGGUGCAUGCCUGUCGUCAGCUCGUGUCGUGAGAUGUUGGGUUAAGUCCCGCAACGAGCGCAACCCUUGUUCACUGUUGCCAGCACGUUAUGGUGGGGACUCAGUGGAGACCGCCGGGGUCAACUCGGAGGAAGGUGGGGAUGACGUCAAGUCAUCAUGCCCCUUAUGUCCAGGGCUUCACGCAUGCUACAAUGGCUGGUACAGAGAGUGGCGAGCCUGUGAGGGUGAGCGAAUCUCGGAAAGCCGGUCUCAGUUCGGAUUGGGGUCUGCAACUCGACCUCAUGAAGUCGGAGUCGCUAGUAAUCGCAGAUCAGCAACGCUGCGGUGAAUACGUUCCCGGG
rnacentral:rRNA from 1 species